GACAGAGGGUGCAAACGUUGUUCGGAAUUACUGGGCGUAAAGCGCGUGUAGGCGGCAAGGCAAGUCGGGUGUGAAAUCUCAGAGCUCAACUCUGAAACUGCACUCGAUACUGCUUUGCUUGAGGACUGGAGAGGAGAUUGGAAUUCACGGUGUAGCAGUGAAAUGCGUAGAUAUCGUGAGGAAGACCAGUGGCGAAGGCGGAUCUCUGGACAGUUCCUGACGCUGAGGCGCGAAGGCCAGGGGAGCAAACGGG
rnacentral:rRNA from 1 species